rnacentral:rRNA from 1 species
UACGUAGGGUGCGAGCGUUGUCCGGAAUUACUGGGCGUAAAGAGCUCGUAGGUGGUUUGUCGCGUUGUCCGUGAAAACUCACAACUCAAUUGUGGGCGUGCGGGCGAUACGGGCAGACUGGAGUACUGCAGGGGAGACUGGAAUUCCUGGUGUAGCGGUGGAAUGCGCAGAUAUCAGGAGGAACACCGGUGGCGAAGGCGGGUCUCUGGGCAGUAACUGAGGCUGAGGAGCGAAAGCGUGGGGAGCGAACAGG